rnacentral:rRNA from 1 species
AGGACGAACGCUUGCGGCGUGCCUAAGAAAUGCAAGUCGAGCGGGAGUAGCAAUACUCUAGCGGCGAACGGUCGCGUAACACGUAGCCAACCUGCCCAGAAGACCGGGACAACACUCCGAAAGGGGUGCUAAUACCGGAUGUGCCCAUUUUGCCACAUGGCUUAAUGAGUAAAUCAUUUAUGGCUUCUGGAGGGGGCUGCGGCCUAUCAGCUAGAUGGUGGGGUAACGGCCUACCAUGGCGUCGACGGGUAGCUGGUCUGAGAGGAUGGUCAGCCGGACUGGGACUGAGAUACGGCCCAGACUCCUACGGGGGGCAGCAAUUAGGAAUCUUGCGCAAUGGGGGCAACCCUGACGCAGCGACGCCGCGUGGAGGAUGACGGCCUUCGGGUUGUAAACUCCUUUUAUCGGGGAAGAAACAAAUGACGGUACCCGAUGAAUAGCCCGGCUAACUCCGUGCCAGCAGCCGC